rnacentral:tRNA from 1 species
GAAGCUUUAGUUAAUUCUAUAACCUCGGCCUGUCAGACCGAAAUAGCAAGUUAGAGCCUUGUAGGCUUCG